UACGUAGGGCGCGAGCGUUGUCCGGAUUUAUUGGGCGUAAAGAGCUCGUAGGCGGCUCAUUGCGUCAACCGUGAAAACCAGCAGCUCAACUGUUGGCUUGCGGUUGAUACGGGUGGGCUGGAGUUCGGUAGGGGAGACUGGAAUUCCUGGUGUAGCGGUGAAAUGCGCAGAUAUCAGGAGGAACACCGGUGGCGAAGGCGGGUCUCUGGGCCGGUACUGACGCUGAGGAGCGAAAGCGUGGGGAGCGAACAGG
rnacentral:rRNA from 1 species